AUGCACGCUGGCGGCGUGCCUAAUACAUGCAAGUCGAGCGAACGGACGAGAAGCUUGCUUCUCUGAUGUUAGCGGCGGACGGGUGAGUAACACGUGGAUAACCUACCUAUAAGACUGGGAUAACUUCGGGAAACCGGAGCUAAUACCGGAUAAUAUUUUGAACCGCAUGGUUCAAAAGUGAAAGACGGUCUUGCUGUCACUUAUAGAUGGAUCCGCGCUGCAUUAGCUAGUUGGUAAGGUAACGGCUUACCAAGGCAACGAUGCAUAGCCGACCUGAGAGGGUGAUCGGCCACACUGGAACUGAGACACGGUCCAGACUCCUACGGGAGGCAGCAGUAGGGAAUCUUCCGCAAUGGGCGAAAGCCUGACGGAGCAACGCCGCGUGAGUGAUGAAGGUCUUCGGAUCGUAAAACUCUGUUAUUAGGGAAGAACAUAUGUGUAAGUAACUGUGCACAUCUUGACGGUACCUAAUCAGAAAGCCACGGCUAACUGCGUG
rnacentral:rRNA from 1 species